CUGACCUCGAAUCAGGUGGGACUACCCGCUGAACUUAAGCAUAUCAAUAAGCGGAGGAAAAGAAACUAACAAGGAUUCCCUUAGUAACUGCGAGUGAAGUGGGAUGAGCUCAAAUUUAAAAUCUGGUAGUCUCUGGCUGCCCGAGUUGUAAUCUAGAGAAGUGUUUUCUGUGCUGGAC
rnacentral:rRNA from 1 species